AUCCUCAGCAUUACCCAUGACCCCAGUGAGGAGUGGGUGCUAGUAGGCCCGAGGACAAGCGAUAUCAUCAUUCUCCACACGCACCGGAGGGAGAAGGUUAAGGCAGUCCUUCGUAAAUAUGUCAACCACCACAACCUCCAGUCUGCCUCCUGUGGGAGCUAUUUUGUGACCGCACUGGACGAGGCGAUCCACUGCAUAGCCGCACCUUCUCUACAAACGUUGUUUCAGGUGGAGGAGCCUACGGCCAUCCUGUGUUGUGAUGUGUCUUCUGACAACCAUUAUCUGGUCACGGGUUCCAAGAACAGUGCCACGGUUUAAACCAGCUCUUGUACUGAGGUUUCCGUGCCGUGUUCCUGCUGGUGAAGACCCAGAGGAGGCUGGCAGGCUGAGGGGAGGGCAGCCUCCGUGGCCUUGAUAGCGCUGCCUCACCCUCGGUGGCCGGGCCUCUGUCCAUUCCCUCCCCCCCAGGACACGUCUCGCCUGUGUGCACAGGUUUUUAUGAUACGGCGUAGGGAUUUUUCUUCUGUUAGUAUUCUUACCACUGAUUUCUGGGUUUGGGUGGGGAAACUUGCCUUUAUAAUCAGCAAAAUAGAAGAGCAAAAACCAAAA